rnacentral:rRNA from 1 species
UGGGGAAUAUUGCGCAAUGGGGGGAACCCUGACGCAGCCAUGCCGCGUGAAUGAAGAAGGCCUUCGGGUUGUAAAGUUCUUUCGGUAUUGAGGAAGGUUGAUGUGUUAAUAGCACAUCAAAUUGACGUUAAAUACAGAAGAAGCACCGGCUAACUCCGUGCCAGCAGCCGCGGUAAUACGGAGGGUGCGAGCGUUAAUCGGAAUAACUGGGCGUAAAGGGCACGCAGGCGGUUAUUUAAGUGAGGUGUGAAAGCCCCGGGCUUAACCUGGGAAUUGCAUUUCAGACUGGGUAACUAGAGUACUUUAGGGAGGGGUAGAAUUCCACGUGUAGCGGUGAAAUGCGUAGAGGUGUGGAGGAAUACCGAAGGCGAAGGCAGCCCCUUGGGAAUGUACUGACGCUCAUGUGCGAAAGCGUGGGGAGCAAACAGGAUUAGAUACCCUGGUAGUCCACGCUGUAAACGCUGUCGAUUUGGGGGUUGGGGUUUAACUCUGGCGCCCGUAGCUAACGUGAUAAAUCGACCGCCUGGGGAGUACGGCCGCAAGGUUA